CGUGUGGAAUCAACAUCACCAGCUGAACUGGGGCCGGGAAUUAUAUAAGACUCCUUAGCAGCAUGAGUUUCAGCCAGUCAUUGCUGUUCUUUACAUUGCUGAGGAGGACAGUCCUGCCAACAUAACAGCUUGUUCAAUAACAGCCAGCCUGGUUGCUGUAGCCACAGAGGAUUUUUCAAGGACAAGAACCAGUGCUGGUCAAAAUGUGGUCUAGUGUGGUUUUCCAUACCGGCUCUCGGCAAGGAUUUCCAAGAAAGGAAUACCGUCUCCAA